rnacentral:lncRNA from 1 species
AACACAUGCGAGCUAUGUGGGUGAUUGGAGAACUUAUGUGAGCUAUGUGGGUGAUUUGAGAACUCAUAUGAGUUAUGUGGGAGAUUUGAGAAGUAACGAAAUGAGGAUAGAGAGGCUAUGAGGGCGAUUUGAGCCAAGGACUGAGGAAAGAGAGGCUAUUUGAGCCAAGGAUUGAGGAGAGAGAGGCUAUGUGGGCGAUUUGGAGCCAAGGAGUGAGGAGAGAGAGAGAGAGAGAGAGAGAGAGAGAGAGAGAGGCUAUGUGGGUGAUUUGGAGAAGCUAGGAUGCUAUGUGGUAGAUUUGAAGAUGGUUAGAUCCUUUUUCUUGCUCCUAAUGCCUCUGUUGGUUGCUUACGUGAACUUACAUAACUACUUGGUUUGUUUAC